rnacentral:tRNA from 1 species
UUAGACGAAGCCAAAAAGAGGCUUAUCACUGUUAAUGAUAGAAUUGAGUUAUCGCUCCGGUUAGA